UUAUCCAUAGUUAUCCACAUUCCUAUUUUAUGGCUAUAACAUGAUGCAUAUGCAAUUCAUAAUCAUCAAGGGCACAAGAGAAAAAAGGAAAUGGAUUGAAGGGUAUAUUUAUAAAUACAAAACUAUAUAUGGACUAUAAAUAACCUUCAACCCUUUCCCUCUACUCAUCACUUCCUACUCUACUUUCCUUCACAAGUCCAUAUAUACUAAUAUAUAUUAGGUUCCAUCUAUCACUAAUUUUAUAAUACAUUCUUGUAAAAAUUAAUCGCAUUGUAUAUAUAAUUUGAAUUAUUUUUGGAAUGCAGGUGUUGUUGUGUGUUACUAAUUGCAAUAAUGGGUAAAGAGAAGGCUCAGGUGAAUAUUGUGGUGGUUGGUCAUGUGGAUUCUGAUGAGAAGCCAACCAGCAACGAGGAAACCAACAAGGUUGUUGUUGUUGUUGAGAACAAAACUGAUGAGAUGAAUAUGAUAUGAGGAACCAGAAAAAUUAAUAAUAAUUAAUGUUUUGUAAAAAUAAUCUGGUACCACCAGUCUACUUAAUGUUAUGUUAUGUUAAUUUAUAUAUAUAUAUAUAUAUAUAUAUAUAUAUAUAUAUAUAUAUAUAUAUAUAUAUAUAUAUAUAUAUAUAUAUAU
rnacentral:lncRNA from 1 species